ensembl:rRNA 5S_rRNA 5S ribosomal RNA
GCCAGCAGCCAUAUCACUCUGCAACUCACAACUAGCAACCCACUGAAGCUAAGCAGGUGUGAGCCUGGUCAGUACCUGGGUGGGAGACCUCCUGGGAAAAACUAUGGUUGCUGCUGGAA